GAUGAACGCUGGCGGCGUGCUUAACACAUGCAAGUCGAACGGAAAGGCCCUGCUUUCGUGGGGUUCUCGAGUGGCGAACGGGUGAGUAACACGUGAAUAACCUGCCCUUGACGUUGGGAUAACUUCAGGAGACUGGGGCUAAUACCGGAUAGGAGCUCCUGCUGCUUGGUGGUGGUUGGAAAGUUUCGGCGGUUGGGGAUGGACUCGCGGCUUAUCAGCUUGUUGGUGGGGUAGUUGCUUACCAAGGCUUUGACGGGUAGCCGGCAUGAGAGGGUGAACGGCCACAUUGGGACUGAGAGAGGGCCCAGACUGCUAUGGGAGGCAGAAGUGGGUAAUAUUGACCAAUGGGCGGAAGCCUGAUGCAGCAGCGCCGCGUUCGGAAUGACGGCCUUCUGGGUGUAAACCGCUUUCGCCUAUGACGAAGCGGGAGUGACGGUAAUGGGUAAAGAAGCACCGGCUAACUACGUG
rnacentral:rRNA from 1 species